UACGUAGGGGGCAAGCGUUUGUCCGGAAUUAUUGGGCGUAAAGAGCGCGUAGGCGGUCCGAUAAGUCGGCUGUGAAAGUCAAGGGCUCAACCCUUGAAAGCCGGCCGAUACUGUCGGACUAGAGUCCGGAAGAGGCGAGUGGAAUUCCACGUGUAGCGGUGAAAUGCGUAGAGAUGUGGAGGAACACCAGUGGCGAAGGCGACUCUUUGGCCUGUAACUGACGCUGAGGCGCGAAAGCGUGGGGAGCAAACAGG
rnacentral:rRNA from 1 species